UCAAGCUGAUCUCAGAUCAGGUCACACAUACAGCUCUUAAGCUGAUCUCAGAUCAGGUCAUACAUACAGGUCUCAGGCUGAUCUCAGAACAGGUCAUACAUACAGCUCUCAGGCUGAUCGUACAACAACUGAUCUCAGAUCAGGUCAUACAUACAGCUCUCAGGCUGAUCUCAGAUCUGGUCAUACAUACAG